rnacentral:rRNA from 1 species
AUUGAACGCUGGCGGCAUGCCUUACACAUGCAAGUCGAACGGUAACAGGUCUUCGGAUGCUGACGAGUGGCGAACGGGUGAGUAAUACAUCGGAACGUGCCUAGUAGUGGGGGAUAACUACUCGAAAGAGUGGCUAAUACCGCAUGAGAUCUACGGAUGAAAGCAGGGGAUCGCAAGACCUUGUGCUACUAGAGCGGCCGAUGGCAGAUUAGGUAGUUGGUGGGAUAAAAGCUUACCAAGCCGACGAUCUGUAGCUGGUCUGAGAGGACGAUCCGCCACACUGGGACUGAGACACGGCCCAGACUCCUACGGAAGGCAGCAGUGGGGAAUUUUGGACAAUGGGCGAAAGCCUGAUUCAGCAAUGCCGCGUGCAGGAUGAAGGCCUUCGGGUUGUAAACUGCUUUUGUACGGAACGAAAAGCCCCGGGUUAAUACCCUGGGGUCAUGACGGUACCGUAAGAAUAAGCACCGGCUAACUACGUGCCAGCCGCCGCGGUAA